UCUUCAGGCGAACAUUGACAUCGAAGUGAUACCCUAUGAUAUCAAGAAAAAUCCUAUGGAACAAAGAAGCAGAUAAUGAUCACAGAAGUGCAACAAAGAGCACCAGGACCUGAUCAUCAAAUGUUAUGGUGUAGAUCUAAUCAGGAACAAGACACCUAAGUUGAACUCUGGCAAGGUUGUCCCAUGCAGAAGGUUUGAUACCCAGGCUUCUUUUGUACAAGUCCCUAGUCCACCCUCAUCUUGAGAACUGUUCCGGUGUCUGGGAUCCCUACAACAUCUCAGAUGUCCAGGACGCUACUUCACAAUGGGGACCACAAGAGAAGCAGCAGUUUGACUGAGAUGAUCAGCACCUUUUAGUUGCCUACUAUAUCUACAACUACAAGGCACUCUGCAAGAAGACUGGGAAUGGUGCACAAGAUAGUCAAUGGUCUCUCCGCUCUUCCUUGAAAAUUUUCCCACUGCACUACUUAUAGCUACUUGCGCCCUCUAUAUAGCAAACAAUGCCUAAUCUGUGCCUGUUGGUCCCCCAUGAUCCUCUUUUUCUUAUAUUAAUUGAGAGCUGAUUUGAUGAGAUAACCACCUGUCAGUGACCUUGCAGGGUGGUCUUAUCCCCCUGGCCAAACUAGUACAGACGGGCUUUAACAAAUCACGAGCAGGAAGUACCAUGACAUGACCCUCCA